UAAUGCUCAGACACCAUGGGGUCCAGUCUGGACACAGCAUGGUGUGUGCCAAGGUGAGGCUCUCUGCCCAACUCUCCUGGAGUCACACUCCUUCUCAGCACAAGUUAAACAAAGGCUCUGAGGCUCUCCUAGUCUGCCGACGCCUACCCACCACCUGGUGCUAGCGGGCACCCCGCUUGGUCAUCUCAUCCACAUCCUCCUCCAACCACAUGAGGCUUCAUAGCAGAGGCAGCCGAGGAGGCAAGGCCCAUGGUCACAAAGCUCCAGCACCCCCGGAGUCCCCACGAGGGAACCUCAGCCCUGCCCCAGGAUCUCUCAGUGGUUGUGUGGGGUACUUUUCUUCAACAGAAGGCUACCUGGCUCAAAGACAAGGCCUGCGGUUUGAGAUGACAAUGAAACCACCUCUGCAAAAAUUCUAACAGUGAGAAAAUGAUGACAGUGAAAGAGAUCUGACCUAACCGACUCCAUCUUGCUUCUACCCUCCAAGCUGUCCUUUUCAUUCCUGGGCAUGGGCUGAACUAACUUCGGGAGGAACUUAGUUUAUAGUUUAACUUUGAAACAAAAAUGACCCAGCGUUCUGAUGCACCAGCUAGUGCCACCCAGACCGGUAAUCUGGCUCAGCCAGUUCUGGGAUCCCACCCAGGAACCGAAAACAGCAAAAAACCCACUUCAAUCCCCUAUGAUUCCAUCUCCGACCCAACCAAUCAGCAUUCCCCACUUCCUGAACCCCUACCCACCAAAUUAUCCUUAAAAAUCCCAAUCUCCAAAUUUUCAGAGAGGCUGAUUUGAGUAACAAUAAAACUCUGGUCUCCUGUAUAGCCAGCA